rnacentral:rRNA from 1 species
UGGGGAAUAUUGCACAAUGGGCGAAAGCCUGAUGCAGCGACGCCGCGUGAAGGAUGAAGUAUUUCGGUAUGUAAACUUCUAUCAGCAGGGAAGAAAAUGACGGUACCUGACUAAGAAGCCCGGCUAACUACGUGCC